rnacentral:tRNA from 1 species
AGAGAAAUAGCUCAGUUGGGAAAUCAUUUUACUGAAGAUCUACAGGCCCCAGGUUCGAAUCCAGGUUUCUGCA